rnacentral:rRNA from 1 species
GAUGAACGCUGGCGGCGUGCUUAACACAUGCAAGUCGAACGGUGAACGAGGGAGCUUGCUCCCUCCGGAUCAGUGGCGAACGGGUGAGUAACACGUGAGCAAUCUGCCCUGGACUCUGGGAUAAGCGUUGGAAACGACGUCUAAUACCGGAUACGAGGCGUGGGGGCAUCCCCAACGCCUGGAAAGAACUUCGGUCCAGGAUGAGCUCGCGGCCUAUCAGCUAGUUGGUGAGGUAACGGCUCACCAAGGCGACGACGGGUAGCCGGCCUGAGAGGGUGACCGGCCACACUGGGACUGAGACACGGCCCAGACUCCUACGGGAGGCAGCAGUGGGGAAUAUUGCACAAUGGGCGCAAGCCUGACGCAGCAACGCCGCGUGAGGACGACGGCCUUCGGGUUGUAAACCUCUUUUAGCAGGGAAGAAGCGAAAGUGACGGUACCUGCAGAAAAAACACCGGCUAACUACGUGCCAGCAGCCGCCGUAAAAC